rnacentral:rRNA from 1 species
GACGAACGCUGGCGGCGUGCCUAAUACAUGCAAGUUGAGCGCUGAAGGUUGGUACUUGUACCAACUGGAUGAGCAGCGAACGGGUGAGUAACGCGUGGGGAAUCUGCCUUUGAGCGGGGGACAACAUUUGGAAACGAAUGCUAAUACCGCAUAAAAACUUUAAACACAAGUUUUAAGUUUGAAAGAUGCAAUUGCAUCACUCAAAGAUGAUCCCGCGUUGUAUUAGCUAGUUGGUGAGGUAAAGGCUCACCAAGGCGAUGAUACAUAGCCGACCUGAGAGGGUGGUCGGCCACAUUGGGACUGAGACAAGGCCCAAACUCCUACGGGAGGGAGCAGUAGGGAAUCUUCGGCAAUGGACGAAAGUCUGACCGAGCAACGCCGCGGGAGUGAAGAAGGUUUUCGGAUCGUAAAACUCUGUUGGUAGAGAAGAACGUUGGUGAGAGUGGAAAGCUCAUCAAGUGACGGUAACUACCCAGAAAGGGACGGCUAACUACGUG